UGGGUUUCUUUUUAUAGUUCUUCUAACGAC
rnacentral:piRNA from 1 species